CCUUAGAUGUUCUGGGCCGCACGCGCGCUACACUGACAGAGCCAGCGAGUACUCCCUUGGCCGGAAGGCCCGGGUAAUCUUGUUAAACUCUGUCGUGCUGGGGAUAGAGCAUUGCAAUUAUUGCUCUUCAACGAGGAAUCCCUAGUAAGCGCAAGUCAUCAGCUUGCGUUGAUUACGUCCCUGCCCUUUGUACACACCGCCCGUCGCUACUACCGAUUGAAUGGCUCAGUGAGGCUUCCGGACUGGCCCAGAGAGGUCGGCAACGACCACUCAGGGCCGGAAAGCUAUCCAAACUCGGUCAUUUAGAGGAAGUAAAAGUCGUAACAAGGUCUCCGUUGGUGAACCAGCGGAGGGAUCAUUACAGAGUUGCAAAACUCCCUAAACCAUUGUGAACGUUACCUUCAAACCGUUGCUUCGGCGGGCGGCCCGGGUCCGCCCGGUGCCCCCUGGCCCCCUAGCGGGGCGCCCGCCGGAGGAAACCCAACUCUUGAUUAUUAUGGCCUCUCUGAGUCUUCUGUACUGGAUAAGUCAAAACUUUCAACAACGGAUCUCUUGGUUCUGGCAUCGAUGAAGAACGCAGCGAAAUGCGAUAAGUAAUGUGAAUUGCAGAAUUCAGUGAAUCAUCGAAUCUUUGAACGCACAUUGCGCCCGCCAGUAUUCUGGCGGGCAUGCCUGUUCGAGCGUCAUUUCAACCAUCAAGCCCCAGGCUUGUGUUGGGGACCCGCGGCUGCCGCAGGCCCUGAAAACCAGUGGCGGGCUCGCUGUCACACCGGGCGUAGUAGAUUUUAUCUCGCUCAGGGCGUGCUGCGGGUUCCGGCCGUUAAAAGCCUUUUUUUACCCAAGGUUGACCUCGGAUCAGGUAGGAAUACCCGCUGAACUUAA
rnacentral:rRNA from 1 species